UUAGGAAAAGCCAAACUGGAGGCACUUUAUUGUUAAUAAAAAAAUUGAUAUAUUAUCUUCCUAAA
rnacentral:tRNA from 1 species